AGCCUCAGGUUUUCAAGGAACAAAUUGAGCAACUAAAGGAAAAGGAAAAAGUCCUAGCAGCUGAAAAUGCAAGGCUAUGUGAGAAGUGUGGUAUUCAACCACAGCAAGGAUCAAAUGAGCAGAGAGAAAUUUUACCUUAUGAAGAAAGUAGUCCAAGUUCUGAUGUGGAAACUGAGUUGUUCAUUGGACCACCAGAAGAGAGAACAAAGCGCUCUCACUUACA